rnacentral:lncRNA from 1 species
UAAACAAGUUAAGUCACUAAAGAUUUCCUGAUCCUGAUGCUGGCCAGACUAUGUGGAAAUGUGGUUCCUGAACAUGUUUCUGGAGGUGCUGGAUAUGAUUACAAACCUCAGGAAGCAGGUUGGUGGUGGAACGAUCAAUUGACAAGUAUGACCAUCCCAUUUAAGAGACCCACUUGUUGUAACCAUGAGAAAUAAUGAUGAAGAUACAAGGAAAAUAAGAUUUGGACUUUACAAUGAAAGAUCCUCAUUGCAGAAUUAGGGAGCUGUCACCACAGGUAAGGAGACCGUGUCAACGUGGAGCCCCACAGGCAUUAAAUAAUAAAUCCAAGAUGAUGUAGUGAUGGCUUUGAGCUUUCUGUACUCUCCUCCUCAUGUGAAAUGUGUCUUAUAUGAUCAGAUCGUGUGUAUGAGAACUCAGUUCUUAUAAUGGGAACCUGGGCCAAUUAACAUUCACCCUCAACAUGGCGCUUCAUCUGAUGAAAGCCAUUUCACGCCCAGGAGAAGAGUAAAAGAAACACAAGAACAGCUGCAGCAGUCAGAGCUCACCUUCGGACACCAGAUGGCUCUUGGUGAGAAGGUGACUCAGGACAACUGGGUAGAAAUGUUUUCUCUCCUCUUCUUGUGCACAUCCUGCCACAGCUGAACGUGGAUGUGUUUCUCUCUCCCAGCUCGGGGCUCGUGAUCUGGAGAGGGCGGUGGCUGAGCAGAGCAGGGAGGUGGCCUACUUGAAGUGCAGGUACAGGAUUUGACAUAUUUAUUUUCAGGGGUGCGGUACUUUUUAAAAAGGCUAAAAAACUGUUUGGUGUCCAGUGGAGGCCUGGGUGUGUGGUAGCUCUUAGGAAACUGAUUCAUCUUGAUCUUCAAGACUGGAAGUCAUCCAAAGACAGAGGCUUCCAGAGGAAUUCAGGAGGCACAAACCAAUGGCAAGAAGACCUGACAGGGAGAUCUCUCCAUGGAGAGAGACUUUAGCCGAUCCAGAAGCUGGUGUCACUCCCAUGAGUCACAACAACAAGCACUCUACCAAAACAAAUGCCAAGAAGGACCAGGAAAAUGCUGGGGCCAUUUCAGUUGUAAGUCUGUCGGGACACCCUCAUUUGCGAUACAGCAUGCUCUCCAGCCUUUUCCCUGUUUUGUGUGUUGUGUGUGUGUGAUAUGUCUGCCUGUUUCUAUUUGCCAAAUGCACAUCCUUAACCCAAGAGUCUACAGGCUUCUCUCUUUUCAGCCUGUCACCUUUUUUCUGGUAAAUUUAGUGGCCAAAGGAACUUAGAGAUUGAGGAU